CAUGUGAGGCAAGUGCUCUACCGCUGAGCCACAACCUCAGCCCAUCAGCUCUAAUUUUUAAAGCCUUUACAUAAAUAGGAGCAUAAAUAUUAUCUAUUUUGAAAUAACCUGAAGACCCUUGAAUCAUUUAAGAAUGACAAAAAACAAACCUGCAUUGCUAGCAAGAUACAGUGAGAAGUUGUGUUAGCAUUAUGUCUCUGUGACAAAAUCAACUUAAACGGAGGAAAGAUUUAUUGACUCACCAUUAUCUGACCCUGCUGCCUUGGCCUGUGGCAGCACAGCACAUUAAGGCGGAAGUGUGUGGCAGAGAAGUCUUGAGCAGUUUUGGCAGCUGGAACAUAAAGAAGAGGAAGGGCCAGAUCCCUAAAGCCCUUGCCGCCUCCCACCAGGUCCCUCUGUGUAAGGGUUCAACCCCCUGCCAAUAGCAC
rnacentral:lncRNA from 1 species